UAGCAAUAUUCUGUAGUUGGAGCGGCGCAAGGGUGCGUAACACGUGGGUAAUCUGCCAUGAAGUUUGGGAUAACUCGCUGAAAGGCGAGCUAAUACCGGAUGUGACGAUUGGAAGGCAUCUUCCGAUCUUCAAAGUUGGGGACCGUAAGGCCUGACGCUUCAUGAUGAGCCCGCGGCCUAUCAGCUAGUUGGUGAGGUAACGGCUCACCAAGGCUAAGACGGGUAGCUGGUCUGAGAGGACGACCAGCCACACUGGAACUGAGACACGGUCCAGACACCUACGGGUGGCAGCAGUCGAGAAUUUUUCACAAUGGGGGAAACCCUGAUGGAGCGACGCCGCGUGGGGGAUGAAUGGCUUCGGCCCGUAAACCCCUGUCAUUCGCGAACAAUGCCUGUGUAUUAACACCAUACAGGUUGAUAGUAGCGGAAGAGGAAGGGACGGCUAACUCUGUGCCAGCAGCCGCGGUAAUACAGAGGUCCCAAGCGUUGUUCGGAUUCACUGGGCGUAAAGGGUGCGUAGGCGGUCGGGUAAGUCUGAUGUGAAAUCUCACAGCUUAACUGUGAAACUGCAUUGGAUACUAUUCGGCUUGAGGUCUGGAGGGGGGACUGGAAUUCACGGUGUAGCA
rnacentral:rRNA from 1 species